AGCGAACGUUAGCGGCGGGCCUAACACAUGCAAGUCGAACGCGAAAGGUCUUCGGACUGAGUAGAGUGGCGCACGGGUGAGUAACACGUAGGUAAUCUACCCUUUGGCGGGGGAUAACGUUCCGAAAGGAGCGCUAAUACCGCAUAAGACCACGGAGUCUCCGGACGCUGUGGGAAAAGGUGGCCUCUUCUUGAAAGCUACCACCGAAGGAUGAGCCUGCGUCCCAUCAGCUAGUUGGUAAGGUAAUGGCUUACCAAGGCGAAGACGGGUAGCUGGUUUGAGAGAAUGAUCAGCCACACUGGCACUGGAACACGGGCCAGACUCCUACGGGAGGCAGCAGUGAGGAAUAUUGGGCAAUGGGCGAAAGCCUGACCCAGCCACGCCGCGUGAGUGAUGAAGGCCCUCGGGUCGUAAAGCUCUGUGGAGAGGGACGAAAACCCCGGUUUCGUAAA
rnacentral:rRNA from 1 species